UAAUAUUACACUGCGCAGUGGGAAAAUAACGGGUUAUAGCAAUCGUGCUCAGUACCUCUUUUGGUGUUCGAAAUGAUUAUAAAAGGCUCCAUUCUCGCGUUGUACGUUUAACGUAAACUUCUAAUAAAGAUGGGCAUGUGACUUCCCUGUGUAAACCGUUAGAUCUCUCUGUCCUUCUAUAAACGAUUAAUUUUAUUCAUUGGACUUGCACGGGAAGCGCACCUGCCUGACCACUCGCGUUUUUUAGGUUUUGUUUUAUUGAAUCGUUGGAGGUGCAAAGUGCCAUGGCGAGCUAAACUUGCUAAACGAGACAUGGAUAGGAAUUUUGUGGGCCAAUGUGUACGAACCUCCUUUCUAGUCGGAAUGGUCAAGGUGAACCACAUUGUUGCAAGAUUUGACUCAAUGAAGUUUCCUUUGAUCACUUAAAAUUCGUGCUCAUUUGGUUUUACGAGUAGACCUUAUACGAGAUCCAAUGCAGUUGCCAUUCGUUUGUUAGCCUGUCGGCGUAGGGCCGCAAUAAAAACUGUGUUGCGCUUCGCGGUGUAGUGCGGUCAGCAUUAGUGUCAGUGGAAUUUAUUGUUUCGUUACGGUUAAUGUAGUGUUUGUGCACCUGUGUUUCUUAAAGUUAAUCGUUGCGCAAUGGUGAUGGAUCGAUUUGAAUCUUUCCAAAUGGGGCGUGCAAUAUUCGGGUUGGGUGAUUACUUGAUUUUUGUCUUUACUUUGCUUUUAUGCAUGGUGAUUGGCAUGUAUUAUGCAUGGCGAGGCGUAAGCAAUUCGACAAACGAAUAUCUUAUGGGCAAAAAAACGAUGGGCAUAUUUCCCAUUGCUAUGUCGUUAGCUGCAAGCUCACUUUCGGCGUCAACGAUAUUUAGCGUACCGACAGACGUAUAUCUUACUGGAUCGAUGUACUGGUGGAUAAUUAUUGCCGUCGGUCUUUCUAUUCCGGUAUCCCUUUACAUCUAUUUCCCCAUUUAUCACCAGCUUCAACUUGUUUCGAGCCAUCAAUAUCUUGAAAUGCGCUUCAAUCAUACCAUACGCAGACUGGCUGCGCUGCUUUACGUGAUUAAAGUGAUUUUUUCUUUGACCGUCAUGGUAAGUGGACCAGCACUUGCUUUAAAAAGAGUGACUGGACUCCAAGAGCACGUUUCGAUGAGUAUCAUGUUUGCUGUGUGCAUCUUCUACACAGCUAUCGGUGGAAUCAAAGCCGUUGUUUGGACUAGCACCGUACAGCUAUGUCUAAUGUACGGAUCAGCAAUCAUUGUGCUCGUCAAAGGAAUUGUAGACGUUGAUGGUCUAGAAAACGUGUUUUUGCGCAAUUUCAACUCGUCGCGCAUUGAAUUUUUAAACAUCGAUUUUGAUCCUACAACCCGUCACACGGUCUGGUCUUUAACAAUUGGAGGUUUUUUUCUGUUCACCGCUAUGUACGCCACGGACCAAGUGUUUAUUCAACGCUUCUUAGCUUUGCCAACGAUGCGAAAAGCCGUAAUAUCGCAUUGGAUUAACUUUUUAAUGCUAGCAGGCAUAACAUCCCUGUGCUGCUUAACAGGUCUUGUAACUUAUGCCUUUUACUUUGACUGUGAUCCUCUUCAGGCUGAUAUAGUUAAGCAUUCAGAUGAGAUCUUCCCUCUGUUUGUUAUUCAAACUAUUGGAAACUUUCCCGGCUUGCCCGGAUUCUUCGCUGCAGGAAUUGUCGGUGGAGUCGCUAGUAUUCUCUCCAGUAACUUGAACUCGCUAUCGUUGGUUAUACUAGAAGACUUCAUAAAACCUUUCUUCCCUCUUAUGCGGGACGGUAAGGCAUCGUUAGUCACCAAAAUGGCUGUAAUUCUCUUCGGCUGCGUCAUUUUUAGCAUGGCUUUGUUUACUUCAAAACUUCAUAUCUCCCUGGAUUCUUCUCUGAGUUUUGUCAGCGCCAUGGCAGGAAUAAUCCUUGGAGUCUUCAGCUUGGGUAUGUUUGUUCCAUGGGCUAAUGCGACUGGAGCUGGAACGGCAAUAGCUCUAUCAUUUGCGACUAUGAUGACGCUGGGAAUAAAAACGCACAUUGCCAAAUCAGACGGUCUUGUCAUGAACUAUCAAAUGAAAUCACUUAACGCAGAUGGUUGCCACUCGCCAAAUUCAACCAUUGUGAAUUCGUCGACAGUUCACUUUUUGAUACAAGAAGGGGAUGUGCCUGCGCUCUUACGAAUUUCCUAUUUAUGGUAUACGGUGAUGAGCCUGUCAAUCGUUUUGAUCGUGGGAACUAUCGUGAGCCUUUUGGCUGGAUCGCAAGACCCUGCCCAAUUGAAUCCUAAGCUGCUUUGCAGUCUGCUUCAACGUCGUCGCUCCAAUAAAGCUACAUCGCAACCAAAUAUCGCAACUCUACAUCCUACGGCGAGUGUUGGACAAAGAACCAGAACAUUGCUGUGGGAACUACCAAGAAGAUUGUCCCCAAUUAUAGAAGUUCAUUUUCCUAACAACUGACAGCAUUUUGAACACCAGUUGUUUAAUAGGGAAGCUAGUGGUAAUAUAAUUCCCACUGAAGCUUUCAGGUAAUCUGGAUAUUUACGUCAAAAUCGUAUUACCCGCAAAGGUUGAUGAAGAAUGAUAUGUCUCGUAAAGAAAAAUCAGAUUACCAAUCAACAAUAGGCAAUAUAAUCGACACAAAUCGUACCUUUACUGGUAGAUACCGACUAUGAAUACAUAAGGACACAAUUGACGAAAAUGAAAGUAAGGUAAUUUGGAAUUUUGUUUAGCUAUCUGUCGAUUUGAAGUGAUCUUCGUCCACCGUAGAGUAAAUAUGCCCUUCGGAGCACAGAAAUUCCAAUGCAGCACUAUCAAAGAAAGCUAUUUAGUAGAAAUUCUCCGUGUGUACAAAUUUUAGACUUACUCCACUUCUCGCUGGCCCAUUUUCCCUUUCACAGAGUUGUAAAUCUGGGACUUUUCCAUACCAGUUUCAGCAGUUGUGGCCUAGAAUCAUUCAAGCAUGCCAUAACAUUCAAUGUAGACACGACAAGAAAAAAAAAAGUGCUACCUGGAUAAUAGUGUAAACCAUCGCCUGAUAACUCGACAAUCCCCCUGGGAUGCCGCUUGCACUGGAGGGAUUGGACAAAGAAGCUAAAGGCCCGGUCAUUCCAGCACCGCCUACCGAUGAAUUGUUCAUUGGUUGCCCUAGGCCCUACAGCAAACAAUGUUAUCUUUGCACAAAACACAUACACGUUUCAUGUACCAUUUUUCUUUUCAUUUGCCUCAAUUUCAUACGAACCCAUUGCGUUUCUAACAAAUGGGUCGUUAUUUCAUUUGCAGUAGUUAGGUUCGCAACGCGGAAGGCCAUGACGUGGCGACGAUCAUGUGUUUGCCUAAUUGACCCAACCACACGACAAAAGUUUCCUUCCAUAACUUGAAUAUGUGACAUGGGAUUCUGUAAUAAUUAGGAAACAUGAAUGUUUUGUAAAUAAUCCGGCAAAAAAAAAAUCUUACCCCUUCACCUUCAAUCCAUUGGACGACUUCAAUUGAGCCUGUGUCAUCCCUUACUGUAUAUGAAACAUUUGUCUGCUUAGACUCAAUCUGUUCGACAGUGCCUACAAAUGUAACCUAAUGCCACAACAGUAAUUCAGGUUAAAACAAAAAUGACACAGUCUUAGAGAUGUAGAAACAGGUAAAAUCUACUCAACAUUGAUAUUCUUUACUUAUUUGGUGUUAAAAUUUUUUUCAAUAUAAUGAUUUACAAACAAAGAAA